CCGCCGAUACUAUUAAAUUUAAUCCAAAUUUAUGUAUCGCUGUUACGGUUAACGUUCGAAAUGGUCUCGAAAUCUCGAGAUUUGUUGUCCGGACUUUCUGUCGAAGUUUAACCGUAUGGAGAGUUCGCCUGUGAGGAGACGCCGCAACCCCCCCACUGAGCUCACCAUCCCCUGCGAGUUCUGCGACACGCCGAUUCCUCAUGAGGACUUGAUUGAGCACGAAACUGGCUGUCGGCCGGAUUUGGCCCGAUUUAAUCCACGCAGAAGCAGAACCAGUAUUCCUCUGGCUGAUGAGGACGACUAUACGCCUGUGUACGAGGCGCCACGAAUGCGGACUCCGCCACGUGCCGACAGCCCGGACUCAGAAGAGCUUCCAUGCGAGUUCUGCGCCAACAUGGUGCCCGCCUCGCAGCUAUGGAGACAUCAGCUGAGCUGUACGGCGGCCGCGUAACAAUCCCCUGGUUUCCACGUGUAAACCCGCAUUAUUUUUUUAUUUUUUUCGUAUUUACCUUAGGAAUUGGUUUGCUCGUCUAUAGUGGCUAUUGGCCAGUCAGAUUGGACUUUAAUAGGCCUGUUUCGGGCGCUAAAUGCUUGAGGGUUGACGAUUAUUGGAAGCUGUUCGGAAGGAUGUCUGAAUAUUUAGUUUUUUCUGUAUAUUCGCGAGUUUAAAAGUCCAAACGCUCCCUGGUGGCGAAAAUUGUAACCACAAGUUAACUAGUAAUUUGGCACUUGUUUUGUUGACGUUGGUGUCUACAUCUAAUUGUGAUUUGUUUCGAUCUAAGCAACUUUUGCAAGCUUUUCAUUGUUGCUUUUCUUCAUUCGAUUCAUUCAUUCAUUCAUUCGCAUUCAUUUUUGUUACAAUUACAACUCACUUUUCGCUUGUCUACCAACUUCAAUAGAUAGGCAGGUCUGACAAGUCUCAACUGUCACUCGGCAACGAGUAAUUUGACGUUUCGCAACGCUCCCAUCGGUAGUUCAACUCGCGAAUUCAACCCAUUGCGGUGUUGCCACGUAGUUUUGCGUUUUCUUUCGGUUAUUUUUGAGUUUAUUUGUUUUAGUAUGGUUGAAGUGAUUUUUUUUAUGAAACAAAAAAUAUACAGAAAGUAGAAUCUUCAGCAGAAUUGCAUGCUCUGCUUAAAAAUUCCUCAUUUUCGAUCUACAGCAAGUCGCGACAUGAAAGUUUCGCAAUCGAUAGGAAACACUUGAGCGUAAAAAUCCUGAAAAUUUUAGUGAAAUCGAUUAACAACCUAAUUUUUUUCGACUUUGUGAAAAUUGGGCUGAAAAUUAAGGCGUCAACAGAAUCGCAUUCUCUGCUUUAAAAAAUCAUCAUUUUCGAUCUAAAGCAAGUAGUGACAUGAAACUUUCGCAAUCGAUAGCAAACACUUGAGCAUAAAAAUCCUAAAAAUUUUAUUGAAAUCGAUCAACAACCUAAUUUUUUUCGACUAUGAAAAUUGGACUGGAAAUUAAUGCGUCAACAGAAUUGCAUCCUCUGCUUAGAAAAAUCCUCAUUUUCGAUCUAAUGCAAGUAGCGAGAUGAAACUUUGGCAAUCGACAGGAAACAAUUUCCAUCAACUUAAAAAGUUUUGCGCAGUUGGCAACACCGCUCGAAAUUAAGCCUGUAAAUGGCGAUUCUCCUCAAACCCUGUGAGGGUUUUUUGGCGAAUUUUAUGGACCGUCCAGGAAUUUUUUGCUGAAACCGCGCAAUUUAAAGCGUUCUUUGCGAUAAAGCAAGAAAACACUAAAUAUCCAGAACCUUCCCAUAAUCUUUCACCUUCACCCGUUCAGUGCCGGGAAGAAAUCGAAUCCGACUGGACUACUGUAGCGUGGGACGACUUGGAUUGCUCAUGUAUAGGAAAUAUUAAUGAACUAAUGAAUAACUCUGCCAAUGUAUGCCUUAAAGUUUGCUUAAUUAUAUACAAUACAAGUA
rnacentral:misc_RNA from 1 species